GGGGUCGUGGUGACAAUGGUAGCACGCUUGGUCGGCAGCCAAGAGACGGCGGUUCGAUUCCGCUCGACUCCACCA
rnacentral:tRNA from 1 species